UUCCAGCUCCAAUAGCGUAUAUUAAAGUUGCUGCAGUUAAAAAGCUCGUAGUUGGAUUUGUGGCGCGGCCGUCCGGCACGGAUCCUUCAUUGGGCCCGUUUGUCCGGUUUUUCGGCCGCCCCAUUCUCGGGUAGUGUGUCGCUGGCAUUAGGUUGUCGGCUUCUUCACGCCCGUCGUUUACUGUGAAAAAAUUAGAGUGUUCAAAGCAGGCUUAGGCCGUUGGAUACAUUAGCAUGGAAUAAUGAGAUAGGGCCACGACGGUCUAUUUUGUUGGUUUGCACGUUGUGGUAAUGAUUAACAGGAACGGUUGGGGGUAUUCGUAUUCAAUUGUCAGAGGUGAAAUUCUUGGAUUUAUGGAAGACGAACUACUGCGAAAGCAUUUACCAAGGAUGUUUUCAUCG
rnacentral:rRNA from 1 species